rnacentral:rRNA from 1 species
UACGGAGGUGGCAAGCGUUGUUCGGAAUUACUGGGCGUAAAGGGCGCGUAGGCGGCUAGGCAAGUCAGGUGUGAAAGCCCCGAGCUUAACUCGGGAAUUGCAUCUGAAACUGCUGUGCUUGAGUUCUGGAGGGGGUAGUGGAAUUCCCAGUGUAGCGGUGAAAUGCGUAGAUAUUGGGAGGAACACCUGCGGCGAAGGCGGCUACCUGGACAGAAACUGACGCUGAGGCGCGAAAGCUAGGGGAGCGAACAGG